AGAGCAGAAAGCCAGGGAGUGAAUCCAGAAUCCUGAUGUCAGAGCUAGAAGACCUCAGAGGAGGGAGGAGAUUUAGAGGAUGGCCUGAGGAGGCAGAAUGAAGGCACAAAUCCUGGCCACGCUACUUUAUAGCUGCAUAACCUGGGAUAAAGUUCUAGAAUCAUAUAAAGCCCUAGUUUCCUCAGCUAUACAACAAGGAUAAGAAUAUCCCUGACUAAACCUCCAAGCGGUUGUGGUGGUGCAUGCCUUUAAUCCCAGCACUCACUCAGCACGCAGAGUUGAGGCUCCUGAUGGCCAGAAAGGAAGCACAGCUCGUUAGCUGUCCUGCUGACCAGAGCAACUUCCCAGGCAGGGCUGUGUCAAAGGUGCAUCCUGAGAGAUCAAGGCCCUGCAUUCCCUGAGCUGAACUCAGCGUGAGCUGUACCAGUUUAAGCACCUGAAGUUCUCCAGGCAAGAUGAGGCUGGCCUGUUAGCCCACCCCAGCAAAUCAACAGAAGCUUGUGCCUGUCUUUGUUCAGGGAGAUGUCUGAUCUCUUUAGUCAAUGCUGUGUCCUUCCUGCUCGUGGGCCAAAGUUCCAUGAAACUUCUUGCACAUUUGGACCAAUCUCACUUCUAUUGUCUCUAUGACAGAAGAUUCCAUUGCUCAGUGCAAUGCUUCUCAGACUUGGCUACAUACUGUAAUUAUGUCAAAUGUUUUAAAAACUCUGAAAGCCCAGGCUGCCCCCUAGACUAAUUAAACAGAUUUUCUGUA